GGUUCCUGAUUUAACUGCACUGGGAAGAGUCCGGUGUGGCAUUUUCUUUGCAGGACAAAGCAGACGCUACAGUAGAGAAUCUCAAAGCUUUAUCCUACAGGUAGGCACACUAAUGCAGACCCCAAAUGGGAAGAGAACAGGCCGCACAGUACUCCUUGUAAGAACAAAUAUUUCUCAUGUGGUCAACGUUGACUUGAGAAGCAAUUCGGGAAAGCCUUUGUCAGAACAGGGGUGUGCUGAGCCUAUCAGCCAAAUGCCAGCCCACCUGUUGAAGGAAGAAGCAAGGAUUUGGUAAGAAUAUCAUGAUUUCCAUACACCCAUCUCCCGUGUCUGCUCCCCAAACGACUCCUGGGAACAGCUGAGCUAAAAAUCUCUGUGUUUGAGUUUGUGCGUUUGAGUGCGGGUGUCUGAAGAAGCCAGAAGAGGGAACCUGACCCCCUGGAGCUGGCAUGACAGGCAGUCAUGAGUCACUUGACAUGGAAUUCAGUUCUUCAAGAGCUGAGCCAUCUCUCAGCGCCCAACUAGAUCAUUCUGCUCUUGGGUAUCCAGAAGAAGAAACUGAGGGACUUGAAGAUGAACAGCUGGGGUGUAGGUGUGUAACGGUGGCGCUCUGUGACAAGCAACAUCAACCUCCUAUUCUGGGGAAUCCUUUUUCUGCCCUCAGUGGACUCGGCCCUCAGUUGUCUUUAACCUUCUCUCUCUUCAGCUCAAGUUUGCCCGACUUUUGUUCAUUUUCCCUCACACGCAUACAGCCUUACCGCUCUCCAGAGUCAUUUGACAAGCCCAUGGGAGACAACUCUGUUUCUCAAACAAGGCUUCAGGCUAAUGGCAAUUAUUACCAGUCUUCUGUGGAAAUUCAUACGGCGUUGAACAGAGCAGGCACUUUGUGAAUGUAUUUUGAAUAAAGAAGUCGCCCCCACCCCCAUCCUACCCCCCAUAAAAAAAGAAAGGGAGAGAUCCAUAGAGCUGGAGGGAAUGAGAAUGGACCCUUGAAGAAUUAAGGAUUUUUCUAACCAAGAAUGGUAGGAACCCCUGUAGUUCUAGAUUCCAAAAAGCUGGAGCAGUAGGGUGAUGAGGCAUAGCAAGACUUUGUAUAAAACAGAUACAAAUGUUAAUAAAUAAUGGAAGAAAGUCAAAUGUUUUCUAACUAUGAGAGGCUAUGACGAAGGUUUUGUCAUCUUAGCUGGCUUCUGCAUAAUCCAAAGUCAGUCUAAAAGUCUUGAACUGCUGUUAAUCAUUUUCCUCCUUAAAUAGAAAUUCCUGUUUGAAAUGGUCCACUUUAGAUAACAGAGCAGGGUGCCAAGUUCAACAACAUAAUCCUUUCCUAGUUUUAAGAUCUAUACUUUUUUUUUUUUAUUAAUCCUCUUCUUCAAUUACACCGAGGAGAUUGCUUUCCUUUUUUUAAACCCCUUUUCAUUAAGAAGCCUGCUCUUGACUAGAUAUUGGCUGUGGAUGUCACUUUUAUGGAAGGCUACAUUUGCUUAAAGAAAAGUGCAGUACUCAUUCUGUAUGGCAUGUUGAUGAGUUUGCGUGUAAUGCUAUCGGUUCACACAGUGAUAGCUGCAGGUAUAGAUCUGCAUGAUUCAGGCUUGUGCGAAAGAUAUGAAGCUAAUGAUAGUAAUAAAUAAUGCAGGUUAUGUUUUAGAAACAGAUUUGGAUAUAUACAUAUUUUACCUUUAGAAGUAUUUUAUUAAUUCUUAGAGAAGUUCAUACAAUAUCUUUUAAACAUAUUCAGCUCCUAUAACCACACUCUGUAAUCCUCCCUCCUUUCAAACCCAACUUUGAGUUUUCUGCCCAUUCAGUCAAGUUUGUAUUACUCAACCAGUCUUCCAAGUGAUGCCUGCCCUGGCAUGUGGCUGACUUCCCAGGGGGGAGUCACAUCAUUAAGGAAAAUCAACUCUUUGUCUCAUAACACUUAUACACAUAUUUUGAUAUAUCUCUGUGCCAAUUAUUGUCUCAUGUGACCAAAAAUAAAGCCUCACAAAAGUUUUGAAAAAUGUGUGAAAGUACAAACUAAAAAAUUCUGCAUAGUCUGUUGAAGAAAUACACAUCUGCAGGCAUAACUUGUUAAAAUACCAUGUGAUUAAACAACAUCUCAGACACGUGAAGAUUUAGGACAAAAUAAAGACAAGGGACAGAAGCCUUCUUCACUGGUCUCAUUAGUACUAGCUUUCCAGUUUUUUAAAAAGAUAAUUCAUGGAAAUUUAAGAAAUUAGAAAAUAUUUUGACUAUGUUUUAUUUUCUAACGGGAAGAUUUGGCAUUUCUGCCUAUUUAUGUUUCUAUCCAAACUUUGUAAUAUUUUUCCUUUUUGUAUUGGAGUGACUUUUUCUUUGACCUAAGUACAAUUAUAAUCACAAGUAAUUUUGAGGGGGAAGCCUUGGAGGACAGCUUGGUAGAGAGUUCCAUUCAAAAAGGAGAGCAAAUUCAAGGCAGGCUGAGAGGAGAGGACAAUGGCGCUAAGGCUCCCCAAAUUAUGGCUUGCUCAGAAAAUUAUAAGUAAUAUUGUGUGGUUCAAGGAAUCCCUAAGGAGCAUGGUGUGGAGGUGAAUUCAUCUCUGCUACAUUCAAGGGUAUAGACUGUGCACUGCAUAACUCCAGAGGAUACCAGUCCGGAUAUUCUAUGUGAACGAUUCUGCCCUCAUUUGAACAACAUAUAACCACGAAAGCCCUGGGGAACGGGAAGGUCUGCAUUGUCUUUUUGCUGGGUACUUCUGGGAGGUCAUGCAAAUUGCAAAGGGCACAUGAUGUAAAGAAAGCAAGCGUGCUGAGCUUCCAUCUGUAGACCAGUUUCCCUGGCUCAGCACCAGGAGAUCAGCAUCAUGGUGUGUGAUGUGCUGUUGCUGGAAAGCUGAAU